GAUGAACGCUAGCUACAGGCUUAACACAUGCAAGUCGAGGGGCAGCAUGGUCUUAGCUUGCUAAGGCCGAUGGCGACCGGCGCACGGGUGAGUAACACGUAUCCAACCUGCCGUCUACUCUUGGACAGCCUUCUGAAAGGAAGAUUAAUACAAGAUGGCAUCAUGAGUCCGCAUGUUCACAUGAUUAAAGGUAUUCCGGUAGACGAUGGGGAUGCGUUCCAUUAGAUAGUAGGCGGGGUAACGGCCCACCUAGUCUUCGAUGGAUAGGGGUUCUGAGAGGAAGGUCCCCCACAUUGGAACUGAGACACGGUCCAAACUCCUACGGGAGGCAGCAGUGAGGAAUAUUGGUCAAGGGGCGAGAGCCUGAACCAGCCAAGUAGCGUGAAGGAUGACUGCCCUAUGGGUUGUAAACUUCUUUUAUAAAGGAAUAAAGUCGGGUAUGGAUACCCGUUUGCAUGUACUUUAUGAAUAAGGAUCGGCUAACUCCGUG
rnacentral:rRNA from 1 species